rnacentral:rRNA from 1 species
CGACCGGCGCACGGGUGAGUAACACGUAUCCAACCUGCCGAUAACUCGGGGAUAGCCUUUCGAAAGAAAGGUUAAUACAAGAUGGCAUCAUGAGUCCGCAUGUUCACAUGAUUAAAGGUAUUCCGGUAGACGAUGGGGAUGCGUUCCAUUAGAUAGUAGGCGGGGUAACGGCCCACCUAGUCUUCGAUGGAUAGGGGUUCUGAGAGGAAGGUCCCCCACAUUGGAACUGAGACACGGUCCAA